rnacentral:misc_RNA from 1 species
CCACCUAACAUUAGAAGAGGUCUAUAUAUGCUAAUAUAGGUAUAGUAAAAAUAACCCUAACCUUAAUAACAAAGUCAGGUAUCAAAACUACCCUAAAUAGUUAAAAUACUGAAAAUUUACCCAAAUAAACCAUUUUUUAAAAAUUCUUUAUAAAAUGUGUAGUCCUAAAUUCCCUAACAAGUGGUAGUUGCAUAUAUGUUGAACCUAAGAGACUCAGAAUAAAA